GGAAAGUCUCAGCUUGCUGAGAUGAGUAUACUGGCGGAUGGGUGAGUAACACGUAGGUAAUCUGCCCUUAGGACAGGGAUAAGAUUGCUAACGCGAUGCUAAUACCUGAUGAAGCAACUGUUGAAUCAGAUGGUUGUUAAAGGCUGGCUUUCAGCUAGCGCCUGAGGAUGAGCCUGCGUCUCAUUAGCUAGUUGGUAGGGUAAUGGCCUACCAAAGCGACGAUGGGUAGCCGGCCUGAGAGGGUGAGCGGCCACACUGGGACUGAGAUACGGCCCAGACUCCUACGGGAGGCAGCAGUGAGGAAUAUUGCGCAAUGGCCGAAAGGUUGACGCAGCGACGCCGCGUGAGGGAUGAAGCUUUUAGGAGUGUAAACCUCUGUUAGGAGGGAAGAAUAAUGGCAAUUCGAACAGGGUUGUCAGAUGACGGUACCUCCAGAGGAAGCCCCGGCUAACUCCGUGCCAGCAGCCGCGGUAAUACGGGGGGGGCUAGCGUUGUCCGGAAUUACUGGGCGUAAAGGGCGCGUAGGCGGGAUAGCCAGUCAGUGGUGCAAACUUGAGGCUUAACUUCAAGCUUGCCAUUGAUACUGUUAUUCUUGAGUUCGGCAGAGGGACGUGGAAUUCCUGGUGU
rnacentral:rRNA from 1 species